rnacentral:rRNA from 1 species
UGGGGAAUUUUGCACAAUGGGGGAAACCCUGAUGCAGCGACGCCGCGUGAUUUAGAAGGCCUUCGGGUUGUAAAAAUCUUUUGUUUGGGUAGAAAAUGACAGUACCAUACGAAUAAGGACCGGCUAAUUACGUGCCAGCAGCCGCGGUAAUACGUAAGGUCCGAGCGUUGUCCGGAAUCAUUGGGCGUAAAGGGUACGUAGGCGGAUAAGCAAGUUAGAAGUGAAAUCCUAUAGCUAAACUAUAGUAAGCUUUUAAAACUGCUCAUCUUGAGGUAUGGAAGGGAAAGUGGAAUUCAUAGUGUAGCGGUGAAAUGCGCAGAUAUUAGGAGGAAUAACGGUGGCGAAGGCGACUUUCUGGCCAUAUACUGACGCUGAGGUACGAAAGCGUGGGUAGCAAACAGG